rnacentral:rRNA from 1 species
ACAUGCAAGUCGAACGCGCAGCGAAAGGUGCUUGCACCUUUCAAGCGAGUGGCGAACGGGUGAGUAACACGUGGAUAACCUGCCUCAAGGCUGGGGAUAACAUUUGGAAACAGAUGCUAAUACCGAAUAAAACUUAGUAUCGCAUGAUACAAAGUUGAAAGGCGCUACGGCGUCACCUAGAGAUGGGUCCGCGGUGCAUUAGUUAGUUGGUGGGGUAAAGGCCUACCAAGACAAUGAUGCAUAGCCGAGUUGAGAGACUGAUCGGCCACAUUGGGACUGAGACACGGCCCAAACUCCUACGGGAGGCUGCAGUAGGGAAUCUUCCACAAUGGGCGAAAGCCUGAUGGAGCAACGCCGCGUGUGUGAUGAAGGCUUUAGGGUCGUAAAGCACUGUUGUAUGGGAAGAAAUGCUAGAAUAGGGAAUGAUUUUAGUUCGACGGUACCAUACCAGAAAGGGACGGCUAAAUAC